rnacentral:lncRNA from 1 species
GCGCGCACGCGCAAGGUACGCGCACGCACCGUCGAGACGUCUUGUAAUGUGCGCGGAGGCGUGAUGUACACGUGCGCGCCCAUGAAGAUCCUGGCUUAGCCGCUUCUCAAGCCGGCUCGUGGCUUGGCUCUUGGCUUUGGCUUCACGUUGCCCUAUCCGCGCGGGCACGCAAGGUGCGCGCACGCGCCCAUGCGGAAAUUUCCAAAGCUUAAUCCUCAUGCUUCCUUCCUUUGUACCCGUCUUCCUUCUCUCUUUCGGUCCAUUCCUACUCUAUAUCCUGAAACCACUUAACACACAAGUCACGGCAUCGAACG